rnacentral:ncRNA from 2 species
CGCCGCCGCAUGGGAGAGUUCCGGAGCACAAUCCGGACGCCGAAGGAGCAAUACCUCCCCGUCAAUCUCUCAGGCACCGAGGACCGUGCGGGCUAC